rnacentral:rRNA from 1 species
UACAGAGGGUGCGAGCGUUAAUCGGAAUUACUGGGCGUAAAGCGCGCGUAGGCGGCUUUGCAAGUCGGGUGUGAAAUCCCCAGGCUUAACCUGGGAACUGCAUUCGAGACUGCAUUGCUAGAGUAUGGGAGAGGGAAGUGGAAUUUCCGGUGUAGCGGUGAAAUGCGUAGAUAUCGGAAGGAACAUCAGUGGCGAAAGCGACUUCCUGGACCAAUACUGACGCUCAUGUGCGAAAGCGUGGGGAGCAAACAGGAUUCGAGAUACCCCGACG